rnacentral:rRNA from 1 species
AUAGCGUAUAUUUAAGUUGUUGCAGUUAAAAAGCUCGUAGUUGAACUUCAGACCUGGCCGGGCGGUCAGCUUAACGGCGUGUACUGUCUUGCUGGGCCUUACCUCUUGGUGAGCCGGUGUGCCCUUUAUUGGGUGCGUUGGGGAACCAGGACUUUUACCUUGAGAAAAUUAGAGUGUUCAAAGCAGGCCUAUGCCCGAAUACAUUAGCAUGGAAUAAUAAAAUAGGACGUGUGGUUCUAUUUUGUUGGUUUCUAGAGUCGCCGUAAUGAUUAAUAGGGAUAGUUGGGGGCAUUGGUAUUGAGUCGCUAGAGGUGAAAUUCUUGGAUUGACUCAAGACCAACUAUUG